rnacentral:rRNA from 1 species
UCCUAUGGCCCUUCCACCCUGAGUGCACUGGAUCUCUUCUGAUCUCAGAAGCCAAGCAGGGUCAGGCCUGGUUAGUACUUGGAAGGGAGAAAUCCCACCCAAGACUUAGGAC